rnacentral:sRNA from 1 species
CAUCUGCCUUGGCAUAGGCAGAACUGUGCUGUGCCCUGCAACAGGCCACCUGAGAGCUGCUUUGAUCUUGUGUGUGCAUUAGACGACUGCCAGGGGCAUGAAGGGGAUGUGCUUCCAGGGCAUUUGCUGGCAGGGCGUCUGGUGAUUUCUUGGUAUUGGUGUGAGCAUAGCCUGGCAGGAGAGGGCAGAUCUCCGUGCAAAGUAUGUCAGAAAGCAGAUGGAAGCCAGGCCCCCUCCUGAAAGAGGCUCCUUGAAGAUAAUUCUAACAUCUUUGUCAUCAGUGUUGACAUCUCUUGAUUGUAUCCUGUCAUUCCAUUUGAGAUCUUCCUGGUUCUGGCUGGCAUCCUCUGACAUCACUCCAGCAGAAGAAAGGGAAGGAACACGCUGCAUUACUGCGUGAUUCAGUGUGGCGGGAAUCUAAAAGGUCGAGGAUCGAGAAGCCUGCAGGAUGGCAAAGUGAGGGACCCCGGCAGUGCGACCUCAGGAAUCCACUCCCGGAACUCUGACUGGGGUGCCUGUGGAGGCUCUGAAGGGAUAUCUUCUAACCAUACCGAUGAUUCUCCGUAUAGCUGGUCUUUUCCACCUUAUCAUCCUUCCUCUGAGAAGUAUGAAAACACUAAGACAUGUCGAGGGCCAGAUGGAGAACUCCAUGCCAACCUGCUUUGCCCUGUGGAUGUGCUGGAUGUUCCCGAGGGCACCUUGCCUGACAAACAGAGCACUGAGCAAGCCAUACAGUUGUUGG